GUAUAGAGGGUGAAUUCUGCCCAAUGGUUGUAUAGUGAAACUGAGGACUAACGUCUAAAGCGAAACCCAACUGAAUGGCCGCGGUAACUCUGACCGUGAUAAUGUAGCACAAUAAAUAGCCAAUUAAUUGUUGGCGGGUAUGAAUGGAACCACGAGGGUCUUACUGUCUCAAGAGGAAAGCCGAUGAAAUUAUAAUUGUAGUGAAGAUACUACAUAAACAUUGUAAGACGAAAAGACCCUAUCGAGCUUUACUGGAUACCGAUAGCGUUAAUUUAGAAUGAUCGAUACUAAGUAUCCUAAUUCUAAGUUAAUAAUUUUUGUUGGUAGGACAGUUUAGUUGGGGCGACUACCUUUGAAUAAGAAACGAAGGCGAGCUUAUGGUAUUAAUAAAAUCUCAUUAGCCUGACAGUGAGGGGGACACCCCUAGCUGGCACAAGGACCCCGCGGGGGGUUCCUAUGUGGGCGAUAGUGACCCGAUAUGAUUAUCCAAAAUAAAUAUCGAAAGCGGAUAAAAGCUACCGUAGGGAUAACAGCGUAAUAUUGUCGGAGAGUUCUUAUCGAGGACAGUGUUUGCGACCUCGAUGUUGAAUUGCGGUGCCCUGGUGCUGUAGAAGGUACCUUAGGUUGGUC
rnacentral:rRNA from 1 species